GACGUAGGGGGCGAGCGUUGUCCGGAAUUACUGGGCGUAAAGAGCACGUAGGCGGAGACUUAAGUCAGGUGUGAAAGACCGGGGCUCAACCCCGGGGUGGCACUUGAAACUGGGUCCCUUGAGGGCAGGAGAGGAAAGUAGAAUUCCUGGUGUAGCGGUGAAAUGCGUAGAAAUCAGGAGGAAUACCAGUGGCGAAGGCGACUUUCUGGACUGACCCUGACGCUGAGGUGCGAAAGCGUGGGUAGCAAACAGGAUUAGAUACCCUGGUAGUCCACGCCGUAAACGAUGGAUACUAGGUGUGGGAGGUAUCGACCCCUUCCGUGCCGCAGCUAACGCAAUAAGUAUCCCGCCUGGGGAGUACGGUCGCAAGGCUGAA
rnacentral:rRNA from 1 species